ensembl:misc_RNA Metazoa_SRP Metazoan signal recognition particle RNA
GCUGGGCACCGUGUCACAUGCCUGUAGUCCCAGCUACUUGGGAAGCUGAGGUGGGAGGAUCACUUGAGACUAGGAGUUGGAGGUUGCAGUGAGCUGUGAUUGCACCACUGAACAGCCACUGCACUCCAACCUCAGCAACAUAGUAAGACUCCAUCUCUU